UACGUAGGUGGCAAGCGUUGUCCGGAAUUAUUGGGCGUAAAGCGCGCGCAGGUGGUUUCUUAAGUCUGAUGUGAAAGCCCACGGCUCAACCGUGGAGGGUCAUUGGAAACUGGGGAACUUGAGUGCAGGAGAGAAGAGUGGAAUUCCACGUGUAGCGGUGAAAUGCGUAGGAAGAUGUGGAGGAACACCAGUGGCGAAGGC
rnacentral:rRNA from 1 species